rnacentral:rRNA from 1 species
UACGUAGGGGGCAAGCGGUUGUCCGGAUUUAUUGGGCGUAAAGAGCUCGUAGGUGGUUCGGUAAGUCGGAUGUGAAAUCUCCAGGCUCAACCUGGAGGGGUCAUUCGAUACUGCCGUGACUAGAGGUCGGUAGGGGAGUGUGGAAUUCCUGGUGGAGCGGUGAAAUGCGCAGAUAUCAGGAGGAACACCCGUAGCGAAGGCGGCACUCUGGGCCGAUACUGACACUGAGGAGCGAAAGCGUGGGAGCGAACAGG